rnacentral:lncRNA from 1 species
AGAGAAACUUAGAGUUCUGAAGGUAGAGGACAUGAUGGUGGUGCUUAUGGAGUAGAAAUACCAUGUAGCCACUGGCCCCUCCCAUGGCAACCUGAAACUGCAUCUCUCAGGACCAUGAGGAUGAGAAAAAUCCAUUUUAUUUCCUGAUUUUCUACUGUAAAAUAGCAAGAAUUCUCAUAAUUUAUUUGUUGUGAUAUAUUCAGACUUGUACUUCUAAUGGAAUGAAUUAGGUUUAUACUGAUUAAAGCAUUGAGUAUCCAAAAGGAUGAGAAGAAUGGAAGGAUGUGCCAUGCAGACUCUGGCCUGAGUCUGUUCCACCCAGAUGCUCUGGGACUGAUGAUGACAGCCUGGACAACAGUGAGGAAACUGCUGGUGCAGAUGGAGAGGCCCCGGGCCACCCUCUCCAGGUAGAAAAACAUGUGUCCAGGAUGCAAACACUUUUUGGAGGAAGUUGCUGCAAUUGUAGACUUGGGUCUGGACAGCACAUUUUGCACAAUAGCAUAUUCUGGAGUCAACAAAGCAGGGACAGAGACAGGUAA